rnacentral:rRNA from 1 species
GUCGAGUGGCGAACGGGUGAGUAACACGUGGGUGAUCUGCCCUGCACUCUGGGAUAAGCCUGGGAAACUGGGUCUAAUACCGGAUAGGACCAUGCUUUAGUGUGUGUGGUGGAAAGUUUUUCGGUGUAGGAUGAGCCCGCGGCCUAUCAGCUUGUUGGUGGGGUAAUGGCCUACCAAGGCGGCGACGGGUAGCCGGACUGAGAGGUUGGUCGGCCACAUUGGGACUGAGAUACGGCCCAG